CAGUUUACCUGCCUGCGUUUCCAGGACGUGGCCACGAGCAAUAUCUUAAUCUGGACCUGCUUUCCUCUCGAGUGAGGUGAUCAACCCGUGGAAAAAUACUACUUGGGGCCAACCACAGCUUCCAAAUUGCCUAGCACUGCCCAGGGGGCAGUGUCUAUGGGAUCCACUUCUCAUCCUCUGAAGGUGUCAAUUUUUAUCAAAGAAUUCACAAGUUUCUGAUUAAAAGGGUGGAGCUCUCCAAAGCUAAUCUUUCUCUCCGUGGAAAAUCAACCUAUUCUGUCUUAUCACUGCCUCCAUUCCCAAGGCUGAUGUAGCCCUGGGAAGUAGUGUAAUGAAAAGAUUAUAGCACAGGAUGAUAUUGGCAAGCAAAUGCAAGAGAUAAAAUUUUGAAUGAACUGUCAAUCAACCAGAAGGAGAGAAGAUUCCAAUAGAAUCUGAUCAGAAGGCAAUUGGAAAAACCCAGCAGCUGAACUGGCUGUCUUCUUCCUGGAUGCCUGGGGGGGGGGGAGGGUAAGAGGCUGAAGGACAGAUUCUACAUUCUACAGAUGAGGAAACUAAGAUAGAUAGAGAUAAAUAACUUGGCUAAUUCACACAGCUAGUAAAUGACAGAGAUGAGAUUUGAAUUCAAUAUCUUUCUGGUUUUAGGACUAUCUACUUCUUAGCUAAAAAAGCAUUACUAUAGUAACUACAACAAUAAAACAUAUUGUAUAUAUUAUAUAACA
rnacentral:lncRNA from 1 species